AGUAGUCAUAUGCUUGUCUCAAAGAUUAAGCCAUGCAUGUCUCAGUGCAAGCCACAUUAAGGUGAAACCGCGAAUGGCUCAUUAAAUCAGUUAUGGUUCCUUGGAUCCUACCAAUCCUACUUGGAUAACUGUGGUAAUUCUAGAGCUAAUACAUGCACCCAGAGCUCCGUCCAGAAAUGGCCGGGGCGCAGUUAUUAGAUCAAAACCAAUCGGUCGGGCUCGCCCGUCCGUAGUUUUGGUGACUCUGAAUAACCAC
rnacentral:rRNA from 1 species